rnacentral:lncRNA from 1 species
CAUGGAAAAAGUAGGAUGGGCCAUGACCAAAUCAAAAAGAGUGCUACACUUUUUGCUCAAUGCAGUUGGGACUCUUUUUCCUUCUCCAAUUACUUGAGUCUUGAUCAAGUGGAUCGCCAUGCACACCACACCCAGGGGAGUACUCAGUUUCCUUUGUUCUUUUAUGUUUCUUAUACAUUGAGGAAAAUGCAUGAUUUAGGUGUGGGGGUGCAUAUUUCUGAAUUUUUAAAUUUUUGCUUUGAUUUUCAGUUUGAAUUUUUAUUUUCAUUUUUUUUAGUGUGAUUUUCAAUUUUUCGUUUUGCUUUCAAUAACACACACAGAUAGCCACAGUUUUUAUUUAUUUAUUUUGUCUCUGUUUUUGAGAUGCUUUACUCAUCAUAUAGACUAUGUUGGAUGAGCUUUUCUUUCCCUGACCCCAUUGAUGUGAUAACUCUUUAAACUUAUAUUGAAUCAAUUGCAGUGGGUUAUAUUCAUGUUUGAGAAUUGCCUUUUGAAUUGAAUCUUUGAGUUUGCCAUGGUGAAAAAUAUAUUGAUGACCCUCAAUUGAUGAGAAUAAGUUGAAAAUUGUGUGAAUGAACUUAAUGUGACUUGAUUUAGCAAUUGGUGUUGAUUUGCCCAAAUCAUUGAGAGAAAGAAAAUUCAGCAAAGGCAAAGACCUCAAAAGCACAAAUCUAAUAUUGUUCCAAUGGUCGAAAGACUAUGAACAGAGCUAGUGGCCACUUGGAUAGGUGACCAACUGAAAUAUCAAAAAGUGUUACAUCAAAAAUAGGUUGGUGAUCUUUCCAAGAUCUAAAGUGCAAAAGCCUGAAUAAAGUACUUCAAGGUAAGGGAAAGUCACACCAAAAGCUGAAAAAAGUCUUAACAAAUAAUGUGCAUGUAUGGUCUCUCUUGAGGAAAACAAAUCCUAGCCAUGGUAAGCAAAGAGAAACGAGGAAAUGAGGUGAGAUCCUCAUCUCUUUUAAGGUUAGUCUCUAUGUGUUUAUGUGUGUAUGAUAUGUUGUUUGGUAUGCAUGUACUAGUUGAGGAACAUUCGGGGACGAAUGUUUCUUAAGGGGGGGAGAAUGUAAUACCCGGCUAGACUCCGGUAUCGGAAUCUGAUAGAGCAUAAUUUAGUCCAUUUUAUACUAAUAUUAUUGAUGAAUAUUUACAUGAUUUCUACUUAAUUUAUUGUUUUUAAUAUUAUUUUGCAGAAAAUGGUGUAAAAGGACAAUUUGGAGAAAAUGCCUCUAAAACCUCUUUAUUUGGAGCAAAAGAGAGUAAGCCUGCCAAGUGGGAUUUAAAACGAGCUAAAGGAGAAAAGUAUUUUGAAAUUUAAAUAUUAAAGCAAUUUAGCACUUGGGCCCAUGCAUUGGACAGCCCAAUCUCGCAGCCCAUUUCCACCAAAGUCUUCAUCAACCCACGCACCUGGGCCCGUCCUUGCAAAAGAAGACAAAAGCACACGGAGCACUGCAUUUCUCUCACGCGGACCAAGCACGCACAUGGCCCACCAACGAAUCAAUCUUCACAUGGCCCGCCUUCACUUCAACGUGGACCGCUUCCAAGCUCUUCACAUGGGCCAGCUUCAUCAUUCAUCUACACAUGGCCCAAGCUCAACUCCAACACACGGACAGCCACACUCAUGACCAAGUGAUCGCGCACGUGGGGCACGCAAUCUUCACACAUGAAACUGCGUGCGUGGACAGCAAUUUUCCAAAAUAGGGCGCUCCUCUGCACCUAUUUAAAGAGCUCUUCAGCGAACAAUUAAAGACACAAUUUCAAUUCGGCAAUUUCCGCCGAGCUUCGGCGAGGCAGAAGGGCAGAAUUCAAUUUCGGUUCUUUUCUUUUUCUUUUAUUUUUUAUGUUUUUAAUUUAGCUAAUGAAUAGCUAAUUUCUUAAUUCUAGUUGAGGAUUGGUUGAAACUAAGGUUGUUUAAUGGGUUGUGAGAUCUGAACAU